CAAAAAAAAAAAUAAAAAUGGGAUGAGUGAGAAGGAGGUUGACCGUUGCCCCACAGUCCUAUGCUACCCUUCAGAACAUUGAUUCACUUUACGCACAUGCACAUAAAGUAUUUGUGAAAAUGUCACAAUGCCAGAGUGCAACAAGCAAGCGGUGACCAUGACAAACACGAUUAUCAAACCUCUGGUUCCAUUCUACACCAAUUUCUGUUCCCCUACACCCAAACUUUUAUCCAAAUUUCACUCCCCAAAGUCCCUGUAAUUGAAACAUCCAGAAAUUGUUCAAUAGUAUUAAAUAUUUUCACAAAAUAAUUACCCCUACAAAAUGUGACCAAAUUUUAAACUUAUAAGAAGUUUUGUUCACCUUCUCUUUAUUUCAUUCAAAAUUGCUGCCCACUUUCAAAACUUAGAACCCUUGCUUCUUCUUAUUUUCCUCUCAAUCUUCUUUUUUCUCUCUCUCACUCCGUGUUCCUCUUUCUCGCAGUAGGGUUUCCAGCCUCGAGGCUGAUUCGGAUUGGUUGGAGAUGGAAAAUUCCAAUUCGACGUAGUGUGUUCAAGUUGCCGUCAAAGUUUGGCCUCUGAUUACGUCGGAGCUUAUGCUUGGAUGCACCGAUUGCAUCUCCGUGGUUCCUGGUGAACCUCAGACUUGUGCAGGGGCUGCCAUCCUAACAGACAUUGUAUUUUGGGUUUGGGGUGUUAUAGUCCCAUUCUUACAAAUUCCUCACUUAAGACUAAGCCCACCAUUUCCUUGAUUUAGAGUCUCCUAUUUUGUUCUCUGGAGCUGUGGCUACGUCAUUUUUCAAUGGGUCAUCCACGCCUUUGGUUUUAAAUGGUACAAUAACUAUGUUUCCUUCCUUUCCAUUAUCAGCCACAAGCUUUGUUCUACAACAUUAGCUGUAAGCAUAUGUUGUUGUUCCCAAACGGGUGGCCAUAUCCCUUUCUGGAGCUUAAUAACAAGUGGGCUCCUAUAUGGUAUUUGUGCUUGGCAGUAAUUCAUGCCCCUUGCUAUGGCGUGUAUUAUCUUAUAGUGCGAGACAAAAAUACGAUUCUCCCCAGAUUGUUCCCUCAAGCAUUUUUGUCACAGGACGUUCCAGAGUAUGAAGGAAUCCUCAGACUAUGAAGCAUGUUGAGAAAAGGAAAAUGUCGGUGGAAUUAUACCCAAGGUGGUGGAGACAAUAUUCAAGAGGGUUCAGAUUAUGAAGGAAUCCUCAGAGUUUUUUAUUAGGGUAUCUUUUAUCGAGGGGGAUUUGUGGGCUCUCAUUCGCAAACAAGGGAUGUCUUCUUCACAUUGUUGAACAUAAUGGGGUAGCAUACGGGGUUAAUAUUGAAACAAGAGAGCUUUUAAAGGAAUUUAAAAUCACAAAAAAGUCUAUUACUUCUCUGGCUUUCUCGCAUGAUGAAAAAUAUUUAGCUAUUGUCAGCUCUAGACCACGGGUUAUAAGCUGGGAAAUUGGGGAAGAGAUUUUGAAGUUCCCUAAUGAUUUGAUCAACAUGAGGCUGUUGAAGGAGUCCUUCUUGAUGAUGAUUUGAAUGAGCCAACAAUGGGAGAGAAACUUGCUAGUCUAAGUGUUCUGGAUGGGAACAAAUCAAGGAGUGAUAUAGAGCAAGAAUCUUCUAUCCCAGCAAAGUCUCCAAGUGCAGACUCUGUACAUGUUUUGCUUAAGCAAGCAUUAAAUGCUGAUGAUCGCACCCUUCUGCUAGAUUGCUUGUUUACACAAAAUGAGAAGGUUGUUGUAACUUUUCAAAGGCCAUGUUGUAGCAGAUCUCUAACUUUGUGCAGCAUAAUAAUAAGCUCAUGUAUAUUUAAUUAAAAAUUAUAAUCAACAAAGAGUGUAAUUAGUAACUAUUUUUAUUAUUAUUAUAUGACAUUUACCUACAGAAGACCAUAGGUACAAGUAAAUUGACUUUUACCUACAGUUAGAGAUUAUAGGUAUAAAUUAAUAUCUUUUACCUACACAUUUGAAAUAGUAGGUGUUACCUAUAGUGAUAGUUAAAUUUGACUGUAGGUAAAAAUAUGUCCGUAGGUAAAGCCUAUAGUGACAGACUAUUAGUUGUCACUGUAUACCCCUCAAAGUUGACGCAAAAAAAUCUGUAGGACAAAGUCCUUUAUACAUCUACCUACGGAUUUUGGACUUCUAGUGAUAGAUUUUGACUGUAGGUAAAAGUCAUUUUCCUUGUAGUGAUUUAUUAAUUUAUGCCUUUUAGUCUUUGAUACAAAUGUUACGAAGACAGUUUUAUAAAAAUCGCCUUUGUUUGUAAGCCUAUUACUAUGGUUUUUUAAAAAAAUCGCUCAUUUGUAAUUA